GAUGAAGAACGCAGCGAAAUGCGAUAAGUAAUGUGAAUUGCAGAAUUCAGUGAAUCAUCGAAUCUUUGAACGCACCUUGCGCUCCUUGGUAUUCCUUGGAGCAUGCCUGUUUGAGUAUCAUGAAAUCUUCAAAGUCAAACCUUUUGUUAAUUCAAUUGGUUCUGCUUUGGUAUUGGAGGAUUAUUGCAGCUUCACACCUGCUCCUCUUUGUGCAUUAGCUGGAUCUCAGUGUUAUGCUUGGUUCCACUCAGCGUGAUAAGUUAUCUAUCGCUGAGGACACCCUGUUAAAAAGGGGUGGCCAAGGUAAAUGCAGAUCAACCGCUUCUAAUAGUCCAUUGACUUGGACAAUAUCUAAUUUAUGAUCUGAUCUCAAAUCAGGUAGGACUACCCGCUGAACUUAAGCAUAUCAAUAAGCGGAGGA
rnacentral:misc_RNA from 1 species